GAUUAAGUUAUUAAGGGCGCACGGUGGAUGCCUUGGCACUAGAAGCCGAUGAAGGACGUUACUAACGACGAUAUGCUUUGGGGAGCUGUAAGUAAGCUUUGAUCCAGAGAUUUCCGAAUGGGGAAACCCAGCAUGAGUUAUGUCAUGUUAUCGAUAUGUGAAUACAUAGCAUAUCAGAAGGCACACCCGGAGAACUGAAACAUCUUAGUACCCGGAGGAAGAGAAAGAAAAUUCGAUUCCCUUAGUAGCGGCGAGCGAAACGGGAAGAGCCCAAACCAACAAGCUUGCUUGUUGGGGUUGUAGGACACUCUAUACGGAGUUACAAAGGACGACAUUAGACGAAUCAUCUGGAAAGAUGAAUCAAAGAAGGUAAUAAUCCUGUAGUCGAAAAUGUUGUCUCUCUUGAGUGGAUCCUGAGUACGACGGAGCACGUGAAAUUCCGUCGGAAUCUGGGAGGACCAUCUCCUAAGGCUAAAUACUCUCUAGUGACCGAUAGUGAACCAGUACCGUGAGGGAAAGGUGAAAAGCACCCCGGAAGGGGAGUGAAAUAGAACCUGAAACCGUGUGCUUACAAGUAGUCAGAGCCCGUUAAUGGGUGAUGGCGUGCCUUUUGUAGAAUGAACCGGCGAGUUACGAUUUGAUGCAAGGUUAAGCAGUAAAUGUGGAGCCGUAGCGAAAGCGAGUCUGAAUAGGGCGUUUAGUAUUUGGUCGUAGACCCGAAACCAGGUGAUCUACCCUUGGUCAGGUUGAAGUUCAGG
rnacentral:rRNA from 1 species